rnacentral:rRNA from 1 species
UACAUGGGGUGCAAACGUUGCUCGGAAUUAUUGGGCGUAAAGCGCGCGUAGGCGGUUACUUAAGUCGGAUGUGAAAGCCCUCGGCUUAACUGAGGAAGUGCACCCGAAACUGAGUAGCUAGAGUACGAAAGAGGGUCGCGGAAUUCCCGGUGUAGAGGUGAAAUUCGUAGAUAUCGGGAGGAACACCGGUGGCGAAGGCGGCUCACUGGACCGGUACUGACGCUGAUGCGCGAAAGCGUGGGGAGCAAACGGG